rnacentral:lncRNA from 10 species
GCUGAAAAUACAAAAAUUAGCUGGGCAUGGUGGCAGGUGCCUGUAAUCCCAGCUACUCGGGAGGCUGAGGCAGGAAAAUCGCUUGAACCUGGGAGGCGGAGGUUGCAGUGAGCCGAGAUCGUGCCACUGCACUCCAGCCUGGGCGACAGAGCUUGACUCCAUCUCAAAAAAAAAAAAAAAAAAAAAAGGCAGGCUGAAUCACUCGCCCGGUAGUGACGGAGGAGGCCGUAAAAGCCUCUUAGAGGCCAGACCCCGCAGUGGCCUCUGUGUCCUUCAUUCCGCCACCCAUCCGUCCACCGAGCGCCUGCUGGGUGCCAGGAACUGGGUCACAGAAAGGCUGAGGUCAACUCCCGACCGAGAAGCCUGGCGCUGGGACCAAGUGGCAAAACGACUCCGAAUGCAGCGGCAUCCACGCGGCGGCCGUGGUUGAGGAACAGAAGCUGAGA